rnacentral:rRNA from 1 species
UACGUAGGGGGCUAGCGUUGUCCGGAAUUACUGGGCGUAAAGAGCUCGUAGGUGGUUUGUCGCGUUGUUCGUGAAAACUCACAGCUCAACUGUGGGCGUGCGGGCGAUACGGGCAGACUUGAGUACUGCAGGGGAGACUGGAAUUCCGGGUGUAGCGGUGAAAUGCGCAGAUAUCCGGAGGAACACCGGUGGCGAAGGCGGCCUCCUGGACCGACACUGACGCUGAGGCGCGAAAGCUAGGGGAGCAAACGGG